UGGGACCCGCUUGUCAGGUGUCUCUUCUACCUCCUUCCCUGCGCCAACACAGAGAAGAGAGGUGUCUCUUCCUCAGAAGGACGGCGAGGCUCCAGCGGCUCGGCAGCAGCGGCCGGCCGGCAAUGGGGAGGAGGUCGUCGGGGCGAGGAGGUCCACCUUUCUCCACCAGCCGCCGGCGGCGGUAGAGGAGCUUCGCCGGAGAUCAAGCGGAGCCGCAGAGGCACAGCGGGCUGCUCCUCUCCCCGCCCCGUGUCGCCUCUUCCUCCUCGUCGGGCCACCGCCGCCACCGCCACCAGAUCGUCGAUCCCGUGCCUCUCCUUCCCGGCCACCAAGAGACCCACGCGCCCGGAGCAGGUGGAUUCGGGGCCGCAUCGAGGUAGAGGUGGCGGGUGGCGUCGCCUCCGAGCUCACCGAUUUGCGCCUCCAUCCUCUGAAUAUCACAACCGGCGAGCAGGCGGCGACGCAGGGGACGGAGCCGAGGCGGAGGUAAAGGAGCGGGCCGUGGCACGCGGCGAGGCGGUGGAGCGCCUGGUGCGGCAGCGGCGUGAGCAGGUGGAGGUGGCCCAGGAUGGGCAGCCCGAACGGGCUCGGCGGGAGGCGCAGGCCUGGUCCGGCCGGUCGUCGGAUCUCCUCGCCCCGAUGACCUCCCUACCGCCGGCCGCUGGAGCCACGUCGUCCUUCGCUACUCUUCCUCUCCUCUCUGUGUUGGCGCACAGGGAGGGAGGUAGAAGAGACACUUGACAAGCGGGCCCCAUCUGAGGAAGGGAGAGAAGAGGGGAAAGAGAGAUGACGUGGCAUCAUGACAUGCGGGGUCCACAUGGGUCCCAUGCUGACUCAGCCGCUACGUAGGCCAAAACCGGAGUCAAAACCACCUAAGGACCUGUUGUGGCCGGUUUUGAUUAGUUAAGGAAUAUCGGAUAUCUGGUUUUGUGGUUGGGGGAUGAUUUUGUUUCCUCUCUGUUAACGCAGAUCGGCCUGUGAUUGAUUAA